AUUGAACGCUGGCGGCAGGCCUAACACAUGCAAGUCGAGCGAGCGGCGGACGGGUGAGUAAUGUAUGGGGACUGCCCGAUAGAGGGGGAUAACUACUGGAAACGGUGGCUAAUACCGCAUACUAUCGGAUAACCCAUAUGGGAUUAGCUAGUAGGUGGGGUAAAGGCUCACCUAGGCGACGAUCUCUAGCUGGUCUGAGAGGAUGAUCAGCCACACUGGGACUGAGACAAGGCCCAGACUCCGACGGAGGCAGCAGUGGGGAAUUUUGGACAAUGGGCGCCAGCCGGAUGCAGCCAUGCCGGGGGUAUGAAGAAUGCCUUAAGGUUGUAAAGUACGUUCAGCGGGGAGGCGUUACCCGCAGAAGAAGCACCGGCCAACUCCGUGCCAGGAGCCGCCGUAAUAU
rnacentral:rRNA from 1 species